CGUUUGGAGCGGUUGCAGGGGGUCCCGGAGCGGCGAGGCCCGCGGCCUUCCCCAGCCCGCCCGCCUCGGCCACCAUUGGCCGCCUCCUCGUUGGCGAGACUUAGGCCCCGCCCUCCUCUCGCUGGGACCACUCUGCGGCGAUCUCGGGCGACGCAGGGGCCGCGGAGGUCCCGCGAUGCAUCCUGGGCUUUGUAGUCCCUCCGCACAGCUGCUGCCGGAGAGCGGAGCCUCAGGGCCCGAAGAACUACAAUCCCCAGCAGCCUGGCGGAGACGGAGUGAGGGGGGGGCUAGCGUCACGUGGGCGUUCGGCCUGGGCGGGCUAUUUCUCAGGGCGGCGGCGGCUCGGGGAACCGGGGCCUUUCGUUUGGAGCGGUUGCAGGGGGUCCCGGAGCGGCGAGGCCCGCGGCCUUCCCCAGCUCGCUAGGUCCCGGCCGCCCCUCGCAGGGGUGAGGGGCCACCCCCUGGGCCGGGCGUUGCCCCGGGCGCCGCCGCCCCGCCCGGCCUGAGGGGGAGGAACCGGCCGGGCCUCACCGCGCGGCCCCAACCCCUCCGGAGUCGCCGCCACUGCUCUCCGUGCUCCGGACUCGAGGCUGCCUCUCGCCCGUCAGCCGACGCCAUGAAGAUCAAGGAUGCCAAAAAACCCUCUUUCCAUGGUUUGGCAUGGACAUUGGGGGAACUCUGGUAAAGCUCACAUGUUUUCAGUCUAUUGAUACCACGGCAGAGGAAGAACAAGAAGUUGAGAACUUAAAAAGUUAUUUGGAAACAUUUGACUUCUAAUGUAGCAUACGGAUCCACUGGCAUUCGGGAUGUACACCUUGAACUUAAGGAUUUAACACUUUUUGGCCAAAGAGGGAACUCGCACUUUAUCAGAUUUCCAACCCAGAACCUACCUACUUUUAUCCAAAUGGGAAGCGAUAAAAACUUCUCAACUUUACAAAGAGUGCUAUGCGCUGCAGCAGGUGGUGCUUACAAGUUUGACAAAGAUUUUCACACAAUACUUGACAAGCUGGUGCUGCUCAACCCAGGAAUAGAAGCAGGACAAAUCUUAAUGGCACCCAGCUCAUUUAUGAAGCUCCAGACGGACAGGUUUUGCCACUGAAAGUGCUGUCCGUGAACCAGCAGGGUCAUCAUCACCCAGGAGGACGGAAAUGCAGAUCUGAGCCCCACCCCACAGCUGCGCAGGGGGAAGCUGAGCCCUGACAGUGUCCCUGGGCGAUGGGGGUGCAUGGCCCCGUUUGGGAAGCGCUGUGUUAAGGCAGGUCUGCAAAGGUAGUUCCUACAGUCGGUUCAAAGGCGAUGCCUUUCCUCAGAACAACUUGCAUCUGAAUGGCAGCUGCAUAGUAGAGGGCUGUAGAGGCCACAGGAGCACUUACACAUUGCGUCACACACACACACACACACAGCGGUCAUUCAGCCCAAAGUCACUAAGUGCCAGGCUCCGUGCUAGGCUCCGGGAACACAGAGGUGAGUGACAGGGGGUGCCCUGCAGGAGGAGAGUGAGGAGGGCUGCAAGAGAGCGAGGUGUGGUGUUUAAGCCAGAGCCCAGAGGAGGGUGCUCCGUGGGGAUUGGGGGGGGGGGGCGUUCCAGAUGGAGCAGCGGGAACUAGAGGUCUGAAGGCUGGAGAGCGGCUCCUCGGGCUAAGCGGAGGGGGUUGGUGGGGGAGGAAGUCGAGGGGAGGCAAUACCACUUGCUUACAAUUGUCCAGAGAGGGUGUGUGGGGCUUGCCCAGAGAGAGAGAGGGGAGGGGGGCCGGCCCUGGGAGCUGGAGGCCUUUCCUCCGUGUGUUUCUUUAUGAUAUUCAUGAAUGUAUAAAAGGAUAUUAACGUACUGCAUGAUUUGUCUCCCACCCAAGCACAGCAGCAGUGGUUUACAAACCCCUCUCGUAGUGAGUGGCUUUCUCUUAUCCUCAUGAGCUCCCUUUUCACACCUGAGGACACCGAGUCCCAGAGAGGGGACAGGAUGUGCACACUGCCCUUAGCAUGGAGUGCUGGGCCUGGCCUUUGCUUCCAUCCAGCUCAAACCCCGUCCUGUCUUUGGUACCCCUGGCUGCCUCGAUUCAGGAAACAGAAAACAAUGUGCCACAGAAACAGUCUUUGACAACAAAGGUGCCAUGUCACUGAGGAAAGAAACUCCACCCUCACGGUCCAUCCUUCCUUGCUGGGCAUCCACAGCAGGGGCUUGUGUCUGAAGCAUGAGAAGCCUCACCGUCCUGGGACCGGUGGUUUCCGAAUGACUUUUCCCUGGGUGACCGACCAGGCUGCAGAGAGCUGACGGCACGUGGUCCUGAGGCCCCGCGUGGCCGAGAUUGGGCUUUCUUCCUCUCGCAGGAGCGAUGGGGAACCACAGACCGCUGGGUCUUCUGGUCUUGUACCCGGGCUCCUCAUCGCCGCCAUCUGUAAAAAUAGGUUUGUGUUAUUUUCUGUAGGGACGGUGCGGCCUCUCUGAGCUACCGUGUCCCGGGUGGGCCCGAGAAGGUUCCUGUCGUGCACAUUGAUGCAAAGGGCUGUUGGUGCCAGAGUCUGUGAUGGGGACGUCCACAAUUGAAGUGACUGCACAAGAGCCUUUUGGGACCAACCAAGCCAUCAUUGUUUGCGUCAAGCAUCUUCUGGCCAACAAAGGCGAAGAUCCUUGGAGAUCAUUGAUUCCAAGUACCUUGUCUUAUGGAUGGGGAAACUGAGGCCCAGUGAGGUCCACGAUUGGCCUAAGGUCAUGGAGCUGGGAUUGGCACCGCAGCUUCCUGACCCGUGUGCUGGUGCUCCGCCCGCCGUGCCUGGCCGCUGACGUCACCUCAAUGGGGAACCCCUGCCCUGGGCCAGCCCCACGCCUGGAACACGGUCAGUUCUGAGGAGCAGACAGAUGCACCCUGUGACUGUGACGAUAGCGCUGUGCUGUCCCGGAAGGAGCCUCUGAGAGUGGGCGGGUUGGGGGUGGCACAGGCAGAGGUGUGUGAGGUCCAGGGUCAGAGCCUCGGGUGGGGGCUGAGGUUUAGGGAAGCGGGGUCUGGAUUUGUGAUCAGAUCAUGAAAUGCACCAGAUUCCAGGCAGUUCAGUGCAGGUUAAGAGUGUGAGCUCUAGAGCCAGGCUGUCUGAGUCCAAUCCCAGCUCGGCCACCGGAAGGCUGUGUGACCUUGGGCAAGUUAAUGCACCUCUCUGUGCCUCCGUUUCCUUGCCUGUAAAAUGGAGAUCCUAGCAUUGUGAAGAUUCAAUGAGUUAUUGAUAAGAUGUGUGAAGCACUUAAAAUGGUACUUCACACAUGGCCAGUGCUCAGUAGAUACUCUCUGCUCCUGUUGCCAUUUCACAGUAAAGAGGUUGAAGCCCAUGCUGGACUUCGUGGAUUUUAUUUUUAAGGAGAGAGUGACACAGAUGAGGGGUGUGUUUGGAAAGUUUUGCUCCGCAUCAGGUGGAGCUCGAGAGAAAGGGGGUCAGUGCAGGGGAACCAGCCAGCAGACUGAGGACAGGACCUGGCUAGGACCACUGGGUGGGCUGGGUGACCAUCUGGAAGUGGGGCUUGAGGUGAGGGAGGGCCGGGGUGACCAGACUGAUGAUGGUCCUUCACUGUGGUGUGGAGCACAGAGGUGGGGGCCGGCAUGGGGGCAAGGAGGUGAGGAGUCUGGGCCCAGGGAGUUAGAGGCGGCUGUGGCCUCUCUGGGUGAGGCUGGGUGGCCCACCGGGCGGGGGUGUCUGGAGCUCCCUGAGGAAGGCUGGGGGCAGGGUGGGACAUGGGGUGGAGGCCCCAGCCCAGAGAUGGAGCCCUGCGAGUGGGGGGAGCACCCAGGCUUGUGCAGGGCAGGAGAGGGUGGGGGAAGGCCUUGGGCCACUGCUUGGAGGGGGAGGAGGAGCUGGGAGGAGACUGCAGCUGGCAGGCAGGAGGAGAAAGGACACCCUGGGACAGGAGAGGCAGGGCUGGGCAGGGGAGUGGGGUACAGCCUGCGGUCAGUCCCUGGGGACGCAUGGUGGUAACCCACAGGAGGAGGCAGUGCCUUGGCAGCAGGAGCCCUGGGGCAAUUUGGAGGUGAUGGAGGCCCAGUCACCUAAGGCUCUGCAUCGGCUGCAGCCCUGGGAGCUGCGGGGGCUCCGGGAGCAGUGAGACCCCAACGCUGCUCUCCAGGAGUUCACAUCCUGGUAGAAACCAGACCGGUGGGCGGCAGGGAGUGCUGGUGCCUGCUGACAGGGCGGCGGCCUUCCAGGUGGAAGAGGUGGCCUUGGGCCUGAAGGGCAGAGGCCACUGGGCUCUGCAGAGGAGGCUGGGGGGAUGCGGCAGAGGGGACACAGGGAGGCCUGCAGCCUGGGGAGGUUUGGGGUGAGCCGGGGGACCCGCCGGGGAAUCUGGGCAGGCUGGGUCCUGGGGGCCCUCACAGCCUGGGCUGUGCGAGUUCACAUUUUGCUCAUGUGGACUCGUUGUGGUCAAGUGACAGUAAAGCAAAAUGGAUCCUUCUCUCUUGGCCGGGAGAUUAAUUAACUAAAUUCACGAACAAAGAAGAGAUCGUGGCUGUGGUAGAAGCCAAAAUCCACAAAAUCUGCAGCCCACCCAGCCCGAUGAAUGAAUUCAGCUCCCUGGUCUGCUGCUGGGAGAAGUAGCUUGUUCAGUGUGAGAACACCGGGCAGCGAUGUCUGACCCGCCUGCACCGGACCCAGUUCUGCCAGGUUCCACCAAGGCAUUUGGGCUUUGAGCCUCAGUGUUCUCACCUGUGAAAUGGGUAACGUUAUGCCCCAGCACACAGUGGGCACUCAAUCAGCUGCCUUGGCUACUUCCCCAGAUAGCAGUUGGUGUCCCUUAGGGGAUCGCGGCCUGUCAAUCCACCCAUCCAUGCCAGCCUCCAGGAGGCCACAGGCUCCAAAGUGAUUGUUGCUGUGGGAGACAGAAGCUCUACCCUGCACGUCUUUUAGAAAUCUGAGUCCUCCACAAGCCCAGCCAGGGAAAGGAAUCGUCAUAAAAGAGCCUAGCUCCGGAAGUUGCCUGUUUCGGAACUGGAAAUGCAAUUCAGCCCUAGAGCACCAGAGCAAAGAAAGCCAGUUUACCACCAUUGAUCCCAGAAACUAAUGACUUACCAGGCUAGUCACUGAUUUUGAUUUUUAUAAUUGCUCUCCCAAGUUGUGCAUAGCACAUUCAACGCAUCCCCCGCCCAUGACAGCCCUGGACAGCAGUUGCCAGAAAUGAACAAGUUAAUACAGGCUGUUUUUCUAAAACCACUUACACACCUUGUAGAAUUAAAUACCACUCUUCUUGUUCUGAUGCGUGGGGCAGCUUUUUUGUUUCCUGGUAACCUGUCCUUUCCUGCGUCAGGGCAGGGGGACAGCUCUGUGCUGCUGGCCAGUGACACUCAGUGUAUUAGUGGAGAACCGGUGCCCUCCUAAUGUGCAGAGUCAAAGUGCCUUCGUCCCUUGCUGACACGACAGGAGACACGCAUCAGUGGGCUGAGCCUGUCUGCAGUGCCCCCAGGUGAGUGCUCCCCCGGCCCAGAGGGGAGUCGUGGAGACCUUGCACCCAGAGUCCCUCCUCAGGUCCAGCGGCAGUUCCAGCCAGCCGUCUCCAAUUUCCCAGCACGUGAUGUUCUCACCGGGGAGCCAGGCUUUGACGCUGCUCUGGAAUGGAGAGCAAGACGACCGACCCUGAGCUCCCCGGAUCCCAACACAGAGUGGGAGGUCGGCCAGGCGUGGACUGACAGCUGACAGCUCCCACCCACCACUGUCACCCGCACGUAGAGUCCGUGCCUGGGCGAGGUGGUCCGAGAGGUGAUCUGUCGCCAGAAAGGUUAUGUGUCAUGUGCCACGGCCUCCAAGGUGCCCGUGGUGGAGUGUCGCGGGGGCUGCGGGCCGCAGUGCUGCCAGCCCACCCGCAGCAAGCGGCGGAAAUACGCCUUCCAGUGCACGGACGGCUCGUCGUUCGUGGAGGAGGUGGAGAGACACUCGGAGUGCGGCUGCCGCGCCUGCGCCUGAGCCUGAGCCUCUGGCCCGCAGCCCCGCAGCCCAGCUCGGUGGGGCUGGGACAGCCACGGGGGACCCCUCGCAGUGCGGAGAGAAGGGGAUGAAGCCGGAGAGGAAACAGAAGAGAAUAUUAAGUACAUUGUAAAAUAAACAAAAAGUAGAACUUA